UCCUUCGUGGUGUAAUGGGCAGCACGCUCGACGCGUAAUCGAGAGGUCCGUGGUUCGAUUCCCGGCGAAGGCG
rnacentral:tRNA from 1 species